GCAGGCAGAUCUCUGUGAGUUCAAGGACAGCCUGGUCUACAGAGCGAAUUCCAGGACAGCCAGAGCUGCUACACAGAGAAACCCUGUCUUGAAAAACAAAAAUCAAAACAAAACAAAAAUCCCUGCCCUUCCCGGCGGAGGCAGUUUCACACAACCUCAUUGUGGAUGGAUCAGGCUAUUUACAGGGCUGUAGGAAGAGGUUGAGUCACCUGGCAGCCUCCCCGGAGGCCCAUGAGGCUUGGUCACCAAGGUCACCACACUUGUCAGGCUGGUGGCCUGGAGCAUCUGGACACUGACCUGACUGGGAGUUCAACUCUGCCCCGGUGCGAUAUCAUCUGCAGCCCGCUGGGCUUGGGGACUGUCACUUUAUUGGUUUUGAAGUAUCCUGUUGUUAUUUUCUGGCUGUAGAGGUGAUGUGGGCUCAUGAUAAAGUUCUUUAAGCAUGAGUGUGCAUGGGUGAUGGUGUCAGUACCGCCUCAUGAUGGGAUGACUUGCUUCAUCAAAAUUCACCAGAACCACAACUCAUCUAACACCCUGGCAGAGAGAGAUGCCAUGAACUCCAGUCCUUGCCCAACUAAAGUCCCUCCACAGCACCGUAUUCCUGGGGGCCUCAGUGAGAGCUGUGGACCCAGCUGGCCUGUUCCCUCCCCCAGGCUUCUGUGACCACCCGUGUGCGGCCUAUCUUGUUUGCCCCAGAUGGCUUACACAUGGGCCUUGAGGGAGAGACUGAGGGGACACUCGGUCCCUUCCUGCCAUCCCGUGAUAGGUGUCCUCACGCACAGUGAGGCUGUAGGAGGCUGCCCCUGCCUGGAAGGAAGGGCAAAGUCUGCUUCCUGUGCUGUCCUUGGUGUACCCCACCAUGGAAGCAGGGUCAGGCCUCAGGGCAGCCCUCAUACCAAGCUCCCCUAAGUGGCACUUCUGAGUCUCCUCCCAAGCCAGAUGGCCUCAGCCUCUUUCCCUCCUCUCUGAACACAGAGGCAGGCGCUUGCAGGGAUGGACCAGGGUACACCAGUGACAUGUCUAAGAACUUCAUGGAAAGGACUGACUCUAGGUGCCCAGGGACUCUGCCAGGCUCUCGCCAGGUCCUCCUCCCCAUGUCCCCUGGAACUUGUUUGUUCAACUCAGGUUCCGGUCUGGGAGCCUGGCUUCCCAAGGACCUUGAGGCCAGAGCCACUUCCAUUGUAUGUGUAGUUGGGUAGGGGAAAAAAAAAAAUUAAUGAAAGGAAAAGAAAGUCAAAGUGGUCACAAGCCUUCCACAUUCACAAAAGCUUACAGUUCAUAAUGGAAUCUUUUUUUGGCCCAGAGCCCCGAAAAGCCCCAAUGGAGACAUCACCAAGAACUCAGGGAAACCUUUCCCCAGGGCGGUCCCAAGCAUGGCCCCACCCCCUAGCCACCCAGGCCCUGCCUGCCAGCUCUGAACCCCACACUGUGAUGCCCAUUAGAGUAGGCAGGGUCCUUCCCCAGCUCUUCUCAGCCACGUGCUCAGGGUGGGGCACAACACAGAGGACAGAGGGAUAGAGAGACAGAGGGGAGCACAGGGCUGGCUGCUGGGAAGCUUGAGGAGGCAUCCUAUCCCUGCUGACUGCUUCUUCAGGAUUCCUGUGUAUCCUGAAGACCAGCUGAGACAGCCAGCCUCAAACCUCAUAGACUGAACAGCUAUUGGAUUCUGAGACCUUACACUGGUAGACAGACAUUGUUAACUUAUCUGGACCAGACCACAGCCUCCUGUCCUGGAACUCACAGAGACCCGCCUGCCUCUGCCUCCUGAGUGCUGGGAUUAAAGGCAUGCGCCACCAAUGCCCGGCUGUCUGAUGAUAAAUGCAAUGCUUGAGAAUCACGGUCAAGCGGAGCGCAGUCUGCUGGCCUAAUGCACCUCCAAGCAGGAAGGGGAGACAGGAUAGGACCACCGAGGGGUCACCCUCCCAAGCCUCCGUGUUGCACUGGGAUACUAGCCGCUGUCACGCAGCUUUUGUCAGGGCAGGAACACAGCAAGGUGUCUGGAGGCUGGGGCCAUCGAGGGACACUCUGUACAAGCUGUUCCACUCAGGGUGUCUGGAGGCUGGGGCCAGCGAGGGACACUCUGUACAAGCUGUUCCGCUCAGGGUGUCUGGAGGCUGGGGCCAGCGAGGGACACUCUGUACAAGCAUGGACACUGUAUCUGAGCCAGAUCUGCAGGUGGUGACAGCCUGGCUUCGGGCCUUCUUUACAGGCGUGCCCUAGGAGCCCACUGGCUCCUGUAUGCAUCUCAGUCUUCCCAGGGGCUCCGUAGAGCACGGAGCACUUGGCCAUCUUAGGCUUGAUGCAGUAGGUCUGUCCUUCUGCCCCAGGACCCCACUUGGAGCACUGGGGAAUUGCUACUGGGUGCUGCAGGCCAGCACUGAUUGGAUUGGAUCUGAACAAUCCCUAAAGGCAACGUGAAAGAAAUAACCCUCUCUCCUCUCCUAUCCCGUGGCUGGAGAGGCAGGCACUAUGUGGAGUCGGGAGAAGCCUGAAGAGCCCGUGAGCUGGUACAAGCUGAGCAGUGGUCCCGGGGAGCCCUUCUGGGUGAUGGAAGACAGGCCAUCCACACAGGUUGUGAGGCAGUGGUGCCUCUUCAGAUUCGGGAGAUUCACAGACACUCUGGCUGCCUGGGUAGAUACAUGAAGAUCACCGGUGCCAGUUUCAGUACAAGGCCAGAGUGGGGGACAAAAUCACAAGCUCUCAACUCUGUCCUUUUUCAAGAGAAAAAGCCUGCAUUUCUAUAGCAGAGUGACUUCAUUGUGGCCUAAGAACCCGAGCCUGUCAGGACAGGUAGUCUCUGUGAGGCUCCUCACUGUCCUCACAGCAGUCCCUUUGUGGGGCAGGAGAGAUGGUGGCCUCCUGCCAGUCUCCUGGAUACUUGAGGACACCAGUAGUCCAUCAUGACGUUCCCAAGCCUUGGUUUGGGGAUAUCAGGUCACCUGAAGACGGGUGGGUGGGAAGGGGACUAACGGGACUUUGUACAUGAGUGUCCUCCACUCCUGUUUCCGCCUUCUUCAUUCAGAGGCAUCCAGAGCUCUAGGGUGGGGCCAUCAGGUGACUCUCAGAUGCAAGUCAUAUUCAGGGGCUUGGUAGGACAAGUGAAGAGCAGCAUCAUUUUAAAUGCUAGAAAAUGUACUGAAUGAAUGAAUGAAUGAAUGAACGAACGAACGAACAAACAAACAAACAAAACAAACAAACAAAUAAAUAAAUAAAUAAGGGUCUGCAUUGCUCAAGCUGGCCUUAGACCUGCUAUGGCUCUCUUCGGUAAGUCUUUGAAGCAACUG
ensembl:lncRNA